rnacentral:misc_RNA from 1 species
GAUAGACGGCAUCGCAGCUUUCCUGCCCGUGCCUGAUCCAACACAAUCGUAACUCGCGCCCUCGACGAAUCCUCGAAGAAUCCUUGACGACGCGGGUCUACAACAGUCAGCGCCACAACGGAUCAUGUAGAUCCUAUUGUGUAGCGCAUAACACCUCUCGCAGAACACGAAUUCACGUUCGUGUAGCGCUCGCGUCCGGCUCCACUGCCAAGCAGGCUGUAGCCCGGCGUGAAGCUUCCCGAAAAUCAAGUACCCCAGGACAU